rnacentral:rRNA from 1 species
UUAGAGGAAGUAAAAGUCGUAACAAGGUUUCCGUAGGUGAACCUGCGGAAGGAUCAUUACGAAAUACGUGGACACCAUCGUGCUCCUCAUCGUCUGUAUUCACUCUGAGUACCUUUCCUGUUGCUUCCGUGGGGUAUGGAGAUCUGCGCACGUCGCAUUUCCCCCCCCUGGGAUGUUGCAAAAUUUCCAAGGAGAUACCCUGUGGGAGGGAAGCACUGAACCCCCUUUGCAUACCGAUAGCGUUCAGUCUGAGCUUGCUUUUGAAGGAACAUUAAAACUUUCAGCAACGGAUCUCUUGGUUCUCGCAUCGAUGAAGAACGCAGCGAAAUGCGAAAAGUAGUGUGAAUUGCAGAAUUCAGUGAAUCAUCGAAUCUUUGAACGCACAUUGCGCCUUGCAGUAUUCUGCGAGGCAUGCCUGUCCAAGCGUCAUGGGAAAAGCGUUCAAGCCCCUGGCUUGGUCAUGGAGGAUGAGCACCUGCAAAGGUUUUUCACCUCUGAAAUUGAAUGGCGGAUUACCGUGAGCUACCUCGAGCGUCGUAUGUGCCUGACACUCUCGCCUUGAUGGCCGGUGAAGUCCUGCCCACCAACCCCCACGACAUCUUGGGUUGACUUUGGAUCAGGUAGGGAUACCCGCUGAACUUAAGCAUAUC